rnacentral:rRNA from 1 species
ACGUAGUUUGAUCAGUGGCUACAGAACGACGCUGGCGGCAUGCCUAACACAUGCAAGUCGAACGAGACUUCGGUCUAGCGGCGAACGGGUGAGUAACGCGUAGGAACCUGCCAAGCAGUGGGGAAUAACAGCUGGAAACGGCUGCUAAUACCGCAUACGCCCUUCGGGGGAAAGAUUUAUCGCUGUUUGAGGGUCCUGCGUUCGAUUAGCUAGUUGGUGAGGUAACGGCCCACCAAGGCGACGAUCGAUAGCUGGUCUGAGAGGAUGAUCAGCCACACUGGGACUGAGACACGGCCCAGACUCCUACGGGAGGCAGCAGUGGGGAAUAUUGGACAAUGGGGGAAACCCUGAUCCAGCAAUGCCGCGUGCGUGAAGAAGGCCUUAGGGUUGUAAAGCGCUUUCACCUGUGAUGAUGAUGACAGUAGCAGGAGAAGAAGCCCCGGCUAACUCCGUG